GCACCCGUAGCUCAGUUGGAUAGAGCGUCAGACUCCGACUCUGAAGGCCGUGCGUUCGAAUCGCAUCGGGUGUACCA
rnacentral:tRNA from 1 species